rnacentral:lncRNA from 1 species
ACCCCAACUCCCGAACCUAAUAUGUCAAAAAACCACUUGUCUUAGCAUGUAAAUACGGAAUGCCAAAUGGAAGAAGUAGUAGAACAAGUAGCAAUAAACAAAUCUUCAAAUGAACUUCUUAAAUUUCACACGCCACUCUACUCAAUUUCCAUGCAAAUUGAUCCUACACCUAAAUAGUUAUCCCUACUUUUGCACCCUUACCAGCCAAGGAGAACAUGAAUAUAAGCUCUUUUAAUAGAGAAGAAGAUGCCAAUGAUACCAUUUAAGCAAGAAAGAGAUCUAGACUAGUUCAUGUCCAUCACCAACAAAGGAGUCAAAAUAUGGACAACUUACCCCGACUACCACCCCAUCUCCCCAAUCAACCUCUCUCCUUCACAUCCCCUCUACCAGUAGAAAAUUAUCAACCAAUCUCUUGGCUAGAAGCGGGUCUACUGUCCAUUCCAUCACCUUCAACAUCCAAAUCAACGGGCAGGAGAUGGUGAUAAUAAAACACACGAUACUUAGCCCAACUAAUAUCGAACGGAAUACACUUAUCCAUGAACAAUUACAUAAACUAAGUAUGGAUCAACAACAUUCUUCAUCAACUAGCACCCAACAUACACCACACACUGAUACAGGUAAUGCAAGACCAGUGGAAUAUACUACAAAUUCCAAACCACCAUAUACUAAUGAAUCUUCCCCUUCUUUCCACCGGAGGAGAAUACAAAUCUAAAUCCUAUUUUCAUGCCUUGGAACCUCCAUGCAAACCAAGAACAAACCAAUCCAAUAAAUCACUAUUCAAUUAAUAUGCACCCAAUUCCCAACACAAUGUACAAGAACCAAACAUGAAGCCAGUACAAAAUCAAGUAGGGGAAGAACAAGAACUCCCACAAUAAGGUAUGGAACCGAGUAUGGAGUUUUCAAGCUUAAACAAAGUAAAAAUAUUGAUCUUCCCAGAACUGUGGAGCAAAAAGUACAUCUUCAGUUGCCCCAAUACAAUGUACAAAUGCUCAAUGCACAUAAGGCCAACACAUGAUCCAAUAGUGGGGAAACAGACAUCGAUACUUGUACCAUCAAAGGAGGAGGAACGACAAUACUGUGGAAAUGGAAACCAAUGUCAAGCAACACCAAACCUUAGAAAUGAAUGGGGCCACUAACAAUAUAUUAUGGAAUGUUAGGAUAGCAAAAUAUGAUAAGUUCACUACAAAAAAAUUGGUAAAUUGUGGUGGGUUAUUUAUGGAGGUCAUUAAAAACUCCCACUAUUCGUUUAUUUUGCGGUGUUUGAGCUAACCCCCACAAAAUAGUUUUUAUUAUGGCGGUUUAAGUAUGGUGAUUGUAAAAGACCCCCUCUAUACAUUUAAUUUGUGGCAUUUGUUCCGAACCCCUCAAAAAUGUUCUUAUUAUGGCGGUUUUUUUGUGAAGGUUUUUGAUAACCUCCACAAAUACAUCAAUUCCAGGUGUUUGAGAAAUUGUUAUUAUUAAC